GGGCCGUUUCGAGGACGCUAAUACCGCAUACGUCCUACGGGAGAAAGCAGGGGACCUUCGGGCCUUGCGCUAUCAGAUGAGCCUAGGUCGGAUUAGCUAGUUGGUGAGGUAAUGGCUCACCAAGGCGACGAUCCGUAACUGGUCUGAGAGGAUGAUCAGUCACACUGGAACUGAGACACGGUCCAGACUCCUACGGGAGGCAGCAGUGGGGAAUAUUGGACAAUGGGCGAAAGCCUGAUCCAGCCAUGCCGCGUGUGUGAAGAAGGUCUUCGGAUUGUAAAGCACUUUAAGUUGGGAGGAAGGGCAGUAAGUUAAUACCUUGCUGUUUUGACGUUACCGACAGAAUAAGCACCGGCUAACUCUGUGCCAGCAGCCGCGGUAAUACAGAGGGUGCAAGCGUUAAUCGGAAUUACUGGGCGUAAAGCGCGCGUAGGUGGUUCGUUAAGUUGGAUGUGAAAGCCCCGGGCUCAACCUGGGAACUGCAUCCAAAACUGGCGAGCUAGAGUACGGUAGAGGGUGGUGGAAUUUCCUGUGUAGCGGUGAAAUGCGUAGAUAUAGGAAGGACCACCAGUG
rnacentral:rRNA from 1 species